UACAUAGCGGCCCAGUACAAGGUGGA
rnacentral:sRNA from 1 species